GAUGAACGCUGGCGGCGUGCCUAAUACAUGCAAGUCGAGCGAACAGACGAGGAGCUUGCUCCUCUGACGUUAGCGGCGGACGGGUGAGUAACACGUGGAUAACCUACCUAUAAGACUGGGAUAACUUCGGGAAACCGGAGCUAAUACCGUAUAAUAUAUUGAACCGCAUGGUUCAAUAGUGAAAGACGGUUUUGCUGUCACUUAUAGAUGGAUCCGCGCCGCAUGGGAUAGUUGGUAAGGUAACGGCUUACCAAGGCAACGAUGCGUAGACGACCGGAGAGGGGGAUAGGCCACAUGGGAGGUGAGACGCGGUCAAGACUACUACGGGAGGCAGCAGUAUGGAAUCUUCCGCAAUGGGCGAAAGCUUGACGGAGCAACGCCGCGUGAGUGAUGACGGUCUUCGGAUCGUAAUACUCUGUUAUUAGGGAAGAACAAAUGUGUAAGUAACUAUGCACGUCGUGACGGUAACUAAUCAGAAAGCCACGGCUAACUACGUG
rnacentral:rRNA from 1 species